UACGAAGGGGGCUAGCGUUGCUCGGAAUCACUGGGCGUAAAGCGCACGUAGGCGGCUUGUUAAGUCAGGGGUGAAAUCCUGGAGCUCAACUCCAGAACUGCCUUUGAUACUGGCGAGCUUGAGUCCGGGAGAGGUGAGUGGAACUGCGAGUGUAGAGGUGAAAUUCGUAGAUAUUCGCAAGAACACCAGUGGCGAAGGCGAGUCCCUGGACAACUCCUGACACUGAGGCACGAAGGUCAGGGGAGCAAACGGG
rnacentral:rRNA from 1 species